UGGUGUUCACAGGUCAGAGUGUGGACGUCUCACAGGUCAGAGUGUGGACAUUUCACAGGUCAGAGUGUGGACGUCUCACAGGUCAGAGUGUGGACGUUUCACAGGUCAGAGCAGAGUGUGGACGUUUCACAGGUCAGAGUGUGGACGUUUCACAGGUCAGAGUGUGGACGUUUCACAGGUCAGAGUGUGGAUGUUUCACAGGUCAGAGUGUGGACGUCUCACAGGUCAGAGUGUGGACGUUUCACAGGUCAGAGUGUGGACGUUUCACAGGUCAGAGUGUGGAUGUUUCACAGGUCAGAGUGUGGACGUCUCACAGGUCAGAGUGUGGACGUUUCACAGGUCAGAGUGUGGACGUCUCACAGGUCAGAGUGUGGACGUCUCACAGGUCAGAGUGUGGACGUCUCACAGGUCAGAGUGUGGACGUCUCACAGGU